rnacentral:piRNA from 1 species
UACCUGCAGGUGUUAAGGUUCAAGGCCAUUG